UCGCGGGGCGCGAACGAGUUCCUCGUUCCUCGCAGUAGUCGCAGUCGUGGCCCGCGGUCCGUCGUGUUCGCAUUUGUGUCCACGUCCGCGUCCGCGUUUCUUUUCCGGUUUCCGUCCAGCGAGCGACGGCGAUACUUCUCGGAGCCGAUCUUGAUUCGUUCGCCCGAUUCUUAUUUCACGCGCGACCGUGUCGUGUAUGUGAUACUGUCGAGUCAAGCUUGGUCGUCGAAUUCUUUGGACACCACACGAGAUGCGGUGGAGAUCCUAAACGAAAAAGGAACGUGUCGAGUGAGACUGAUGAACCGAAAAUAGGAAAAGUCGGACCUUGACGGUCGCUGGAGGUCAACGGCGGAAGAUACGACGCGUUGGACGUGACCGUCGCACGUCGCCCGGCGUAUAUCAGGAGGGAACUUGUCGGCACAGAAGCGACGCGAUCCUCGAGGCCGGAAGCACGUAUGAAACGCGCGGCGGGCGAUCGCGGAGUGAUAAACUGAUAACGGUCACGGGGAGCAGGGGAGCGAGCGUCCCCCGGGGCCGGCAUCACGUGGCCACCCCGAGUCACAUGGAUCAUCAUCGCCGUCGUCGUCGUCGUCGUCGCCGCGGAACAUGAACGACCGCGAGGAGCCGCGUGAUCCCUCUCGAUCCUGCUGCUUAUUUAUCGGCUCGUCCCGCCAAGAACGCGAGGUAAGUCUCACUCUCUUCGCUUGGAAAAGAAAAACAAAA